GUCGGCGUGGUGACCCUGAACACCCAGCCGGUAUCGCUGACCACCGAACUGCCGGGCCGGACCUCGCCUUACCGCGUGGCGGAGGUCCGGCCGCAGGUCAAUGGCAUCGUGCUCAAGCGCCUUUUCACGGAAGGCGGCACCGUCAAGGCCGGCCAGCAGCUGUACCAGAUCGA
rnacentral:ncRNA from 1 species